UCGUCCACCUGCUGCGGCGAGAUGAAAUGGAUAUGGCUGUCGAUGCCGCCGGCGGUGACGAUGCGGCCCUCGCCGGCGAUGAUCUCCGUGCCGGGGCCGAUGAUCACGGUCACGCCUGGCUGCGUAUCGGGAUUGCCGGCCUUGCCGAUGGCCGCGAUGCGCCCGUCGCGCAGGCCGAUAUCCGCCUUGUAGAUGCCGGUAUGGUCGAGGAUCAGCGCGUUGGUGAUGACGGUGUCCAUCGCGCCCUCGGCACGCGAAAGCUGGCUCUGGCCCAUGCCGUCGCGG
rnacentral:sRNA from 1 species